GUGAUGGACAGGUACUGCCUUCGGGCGACUAUGAUACCCCUAAUUGAGUAUAGCCUGGUUACGAUUUACACAUGUUUUAUGGAUUUGCCUUUGGUUGUUGUUACCAUUUCUGAGCAUUGGUUUUACAUACAUGUUUUACAAAUGUUUACAUGGCAUGCUAGGGUUUUUAUAAAGCCUAUAUGUAGUAUUACAUAUGUUUUCAAAACAGGGGGUUAUUAUGUUCAGAAAUAAAAUGUUUUCCUAUUAUUAGUAUUAUUAUUAUAAACUUUGGUCCACUCACAUUUUUUGUUUUUACGCCCCCUCAAGAGUUAGGAUCGAGGCACAUGAUCCCGACAUCAAUGCAUUUGGGCAUAGGUAUCCUUAAGUUUUCUCAGUGUAGGUAUCAUUCCCUUAUUUGGAUCUUUUUAUAGUAAUUCUUCCAUAUUAUUCUUAGUAGUUGUAUGCUCUGAACACGUUCCUAGAAUGACCUAUUUCAUUCUAAUUACAUAUCUUUCAGUUGUAUACAUGUUUAAAAUGGCUUCGUCACCCUCGGGUGUCGGCCAGCACAUACCUAUCCUGAUAUGUGGAGAUAUCAGGGUUGGGGCAUGUCAUUUUCACCUAUAAAUUAUUCAUUAUAAGCAAAAUAUAAUUUGAAUGAUAGAAUAAAAAAAAACUAGAAAAAUUAAUGGUCCUUUAGCAUUGCAAACCCGUUUCGUCUAAUGGAGUCACCAAAGGCUCAUCUUAACGACUAAAGGCAGAUGGAUUUUAUUGAAGUAGUUGCAUCUCUAAUUGAGACUGUAUGACACUGGGUUACGCCUUGUAAUCGGUGGCUGUUGUUGAGUUUGAUUCAGUGUGGUAUGGUGAGACGACCUAGAUAACUGAGGCUGAUUCGAACUUUGUCCAUGCUACUAAGAUGGUCGUGCUUGUGACCUACCCUUUUUAGCUCUCAUUGGAGAUGGGGAACUCAAUUCCUCCAUUGUUUUGCCUCUUCCCCUCUUUGGUGCCAUUUUCUGUUGCACUAAAAAAUUAGUAUAUAAACACGAUGGAUCAUCAUAAAAUAUUGAUGUACAUAAUUCAUAAGAUGUAACCUAAUACCUACCAAGUACUUUAUCAAAUGCUACUCCCUGUGCACGAUUAUUAAUCUAACAUAUAUAUAUAUAUAAGCUAUUUUAAGAAGACAUGCAUUGAUAAACAUAAUAAUAAUUACAAUGAUAGAAAACAGAUAGUCAAUUAGAAGUAAUAAAGUAACUAAUAUAAUCAGAAUUUCCAAUAUAAGUAGAAAACAAAUAAUGUCACACGAUAAUAAGGAUUUCCAAUAUAAUCAGUAACUAAUACACUAUAUGGCCAAUCAUUCUUCCUUCUCGUUUUCAGGAGGAUCGUCAACUUCUUCAACAUUUGUGUCUACGAUUGCUCUAUCCACUCCUUCCCUGACCCAACGAACAUCUUCAUCAUUCAUAUAUACAAUUUCAUCCAAUUGUUGGGGUGCAUAGAGCUCUUAGGCACUAUUGUUGGGGUGUGGAAAGAAUCAUUUGAAUGCAUAUCAAAUAGAUCUCUUACAAUCAUAUUAACAAAAACAUGCCCAUCUAAAUCAAUUGGACCCUGUAUAUAACAAACUUGCUUUGCACCUUGUGCUAAAAUGAAAGGCUCAUCCCUACAGUAUUAUCUUUGUAUAACAGAUGAUUAAAAUUCACUAAUCUGAAUCUAAACACAUCUUCUUUCAUUCCACCAAGUGCAUCAACCCAAUCGCACAUGAACAAAAAAUUUCAAGGUAUUGGUAUAUCAGAUUUCAACCACAUCUUUCAACGCACCAUAAUAGGUGACAUCGCCUAAGCAAGGCCUUUUGUCCUUAACAGUAGCGUAGUUCAUGGUGUCUGCUUGCGAUACAACACCAGAAUUUUGAGUGGUUCAACUUUUUUUGCUUUCUUUCGUACAAAAUUUGGAGCCAUGAAUGAUAUAACGUUUAUAUUUUCGUGCAAAUUGGUCAGGACCAUUAGCCAAAAGUGAUAAUGUCUUUAGAAAAUACUUCAUUAUUAGUUUGUUGUAGUGUAUCAACCUAUAUAAUAUCAUUAUUAUAAAGAAGUCGGAGAGAAGAAAAAUUUAAUUUGAUUGGUCUACAUUAAAUAUAUAGAUCUAAUGAUUGUAAGUACUUACAUAAUUUUUAAACCAUAUGUGAAAUGUCUGAGUGUGAACUCUUCUGAUAUAAUGACUUGUUUUACGAGGCAUUUCCAAUGCAAGUACUUCAAGGUGUUUGCUGUGUAUAUGAUACUUAGAGAAAAUAUAUCCAAAAUUUCAAGGAGUGUCACAAAUAAGAGGUUAAUCCAAAGUAAACUUUAGGCAGUACAGAAAAAACAAGCCUACAUCAUUCACCUUACCUUGUGCGAGGGCCUUCUCCAAGAUUUUCCCAAUCUAUGGAAAAGCAAUGCAUGUAAAAGAUACACUCUAGUCAUUCACCAUAUUUUUAAGGAAGAAGAAGAAGCCAAAUAUUGUUGCAAAUGACAA
rnacentral:lncRNA from 1 species